CAGCCGCCGCGGUAAUACGGAGGGCGCGAGCGUUGUCCGGAUUUACUGGGCGUAAAGCGUGCGCAGGCGGCCCGUUAAGACAGGUGUGAAAUCCCUGGGCUCAACCUAGGAAUUGCGCUUGUGACUGGCGGGCUCGAGUACGGUAGAGGGGGGUGGAAUUCCUGGUGUAGCAGUGAAAUGCGUAGAGAUCAGGAGGAACACCGAUGGCGAAGGCAGCCCCCUGGGCCUGUACUGACGCUCAUGCACGAAAGCGUGGGGAGCAACCAGGAUUAGAUACCCUGGUAGUCCACGCCCUAAACGAUGGGUACUAGCCGUUUGGUGCGCGAUAGCGCUGAGUGGCGAAGCUAACGCGUGAAGUACCCCGCCUGGGGAGUACGGCCGCAAGGUUGAAACUUAAAGGAAUUGGCGGG
rnacentral:rRNA from 1 species